GGGAAGGAAGUCACUGUUGAGACAGCCCAGCUAAGGUGUUUGUGGUCUGUGACUCAAUUCCUGUCAGAGAGACACGGAAGAGAAAAAUACUUUCUUGUCUUCGCUUGUCACGGACUUGGUUCUGCCAUCAGAGGCAGACGGAUCUAUUGAUAAAUCAGCAAUAUGGCAUCGAACUUCAUUCCCCUUUAUAUCCUGGGUGUGGUACUGAUCCUCUACAUAGUCAAAGCAGACGAGUAUAAUAAAACAGGGCUCGACGACAACGAUGGCAGUGACCCCAUCCCCACUACCACCCUUACUGCCACUCCUGCUACCCCCUCAGCCGCUCAGAACAAUCCUACAGUUACUACCUUGGUCCAGCCAGACUACCGUGACUCUAACCUUACCAACAACAUCACCGUCGGCAGUAGAGAUGGCAACCAAACCCAAGACCAGAACCAGAACCAAGACCAGAACGAAGAUGUGGGUGUUGGAACCUCGCGGGACGACGUGACAACGGUUGCCGCGGAAACCACGCCGUCGGGGGCGACCAACGGCCGAUCUGAGGAAGUGCAACUUGACGGUACCGUGUCGAAUGACGCGAUUACAACAUCAUCACCAGUGCUGAUAGAAUCUACUGGAAGAGGAAGCAGUGCUACAGCAGGCUAUGUAAUCCUGUUCCUCAUAUUGUUAGUCAUUGUCUGUCUGGUGGUGGUUCUCUAUUUCCAGAGGAAGAAGUCCAGGAAGUAUUCGUUUGACCUUGCGGGUAACGAUCACGACACCCCCCUCACCUGCGUGGAACAAGCCGGAACCUUCGAACCCAACGAGAAAGCCGGAGGUUUUGACUACGUGAUAGAGAGCGGUGGUGAUGACCACCAGGCUAUGGGCCCUGUGGCCAAUGGCUCAGCUGGGGAGGCGAGGUCCGCUGGAGAGAACGGAGAGAAGCAGGGUCAUGGUGAUAGUGAUGGAGACAGCUUCGACAACUUCUGUGGCCAUGCGAUCACGCUGACUCCGACCGUAAAGAGGGUGGGCUUUAGCCUGGACAUGAGUGACAGGCAGUCGGACAAAUCAGACAACGGGGAGCAGAAUGGGAACAACAACAACGUUGCCGUGGGGAUGACCCCUGAGCCGCCGGGCCUGACCUUUGACCCUGUAGGUCCAGGUGACGUCUUCACUGAAAUCAGCCUGGAUAUAUAGAAGACGCACACACAUUGUUGUAAAAUUGUAAUGUUCUGUUGUGGUUGAUUUAUAGAUGAAUGUAAAAAGCUUCAAAUAACUUUUACAUCCCUAUUUUUUAUGCUGUAAAUUUUUGAUACCGUAAAUUUUUGAUACUGUAAGUUUUUGAUACCGUAAAUUUUUGAUACCGUAAAUUUUUGAUACUGUAAGUUUUUGAUACCGUAAAUUUUUGAUACCGUAAAUUUUUGAUACUGUAAGUUUUUGAUACCGUAAAUUUUUGAUACCGUAAGUUUUUGAUUCCGUAAAUUUUUUUCGUAUUUCAAGAUAAAAAACGAAUGUUUAUAGUUUUUUUGUUAUUCAUUUUAAUAAUGUCUUACGCAUUGAUAAUAAUCGCAGGAGACGCCAAGUCACACGGCGAUUGUUUUUAGAAUAAAACAUACUUCACAGAAUUCUAGGUGUUGUGUCUUGAUGUGAUGUGUUUGGGAAAUGUGUGGUAAAGUAAUCUGUGGAGGGGUAAUGUGUGGAUAGGUAAUCUGUGGAGAGGUAAUCUGUGGAGAGGUGAUCUGUGGAGAGGUGAUGUGUGGAGAGGUGAUGUGUGGAGGGGUAAUGUGUGGAGAGGUAAUCUGUGGAGAGGUGAUCUGUGGAGAGGUGAUGUGUGGAGAGGUGAUCUGUGGAGAGGUGAUCUGUGGAGAGGUGAUGUGUGGAGAGGUAAUCUGUGGAGAGGUGAUCUGUGGAGAGGUGAUGUGUGGAGAGGUAAUGUGUGGAGAGGUGAUGUGUGGAGGGGUAAUGUGUGGAGAGGUGAUGUGUGGAGGGGUAAUGUGUGUUAAAUAAUCUGUGGAGAGGUAAUGUGUGGAGAGGUAAUCUGUUGAAAGAUAAUGUGUGGAGAAGUAAUCUGUCGCAAGACAAUGUGUGGAGAGGUAAUGUGUGGAGAGGCAAUCUGUUGAGAGAUAAUGUGUGGAGAGGUAAUGUAUGGAGAGAUAAUGUGGCAAGAUAAUGCGAGGAGAGGUAUUUGUUCAGAGGGGGUUUUACUCAGUUUGGCGGGAAUUACUUUGGAGUGCCUUCCGCCCCCCUCGGUAAAUGUUUGUAGAGAGAGGGAGGGGGUGCAUGGAGAGAGGAUUGGAGGGAGAGACAA
rnacentral:lncRNA from 1 species